UACGAAGGGGGCUAGCGUUGUUCGGAAUUACUGGGCGUAAAGGGCGCGUAGGCGGUGUGUCAAGUCAGGCGUGAAAUCCCUCGGCUCAACCGAGGAACUGCGUCCGAUACUGGUGGGCUUGAAUCCGGGAGAGGGAUGUGGAAUUCCAGGUGUAGCGGUGAAAUGCGUAGAUAUCUGGAGGAACACCGGUGGCGAAGGCGGCAUCCUGGACCGGUAUUGACGCUGAUGCGCGAAAGCCAGGGGAGCAAACGGG
rnacentral:rRNA from 1 species